AGACCCGAAACCCGGUGAUCUAGCCAUGGGCAGGUUGAAGGUUGGGUAACACUAACUGGAGGACCGAACCGACUAAUGUUGAAAAAUUAGCGGAUGACCUGUGGCUGGGGGUGAAAGGCCAAUCAAACCGGGAGAUAGCUGGUUCUCCCCGAAAGCUAUUUAGGUAGCGCCUCGUGAAUUCAUCUCCGGGGGUAGAGCACUGUUUCGGCUAGGGGGCCAUCCCGGCUUACCAACCCGAUGCAAACUGCGAAUACCGGAGAAUGUUAUCACGGGAGACACACGGCGGGUGCUAACGUCCGUCGUGAAGAGGGAAACAACCCAGACCGCCAGCUAAGGUCCCAAAGUCAUGGUUAAGUGGGAAACGAUGUGGGAAGGCCCAGACAGCCAGGAUGUUGGCUUAGAAGCAGCCAUCAUUUAAAGAAAGCGUAAUAGCUCACUGGUCGAGUCGGCCUGCGCGGAAGAUGUAACGGGGCUAAACCAUGCACCGAAGCUGCGGCAGCGACACUGUGUGUUGUUGGGUAGGGGAGCGUUCUGUAAGCCUGCGAAGGUGGCCUGUGAGGGUUGCUGGAGGUAUCAGAAGUGCGAAUGCUGACAUAAGUAACGAUAAAGCGGGUGAAAAGCCCGCUCGCCGGAAGACCAAGGGUUCCUGUCCAACGUUAAUCGGGGCAGGGUGAGUCGACCCCUAAGGCGAGGCCGAAAGGCGUAGUCGAUGGGAAACGGGUUAAUAUUCCCGUACUUGGUGUUACUGCGAAGGGGGGACGGAGAAGGCUAUGUUGGCCGGGCGACGGUUGUCCCGGUUUAAGCGUGUAGGUGUGUGUUCCAGGUAAAUCCGGUUCACUUUAACACUGAGGCGUGACGACGAGGCACUACGGUGCUGAAGCAACAAAUGCCCUGCUUCCAGGAAAAGCCUCUAAGCAUCAGGUAACAUCAAAUCGUACCCCAAACCGACACAGGUGGUCAGGUAGAGAAUACCAAGGCGCUUGAGAGAACUCGGGUGAAGGAACUAGGCAAAAUGGUGCCGUAACUUCGGGAGAAGGCACGCUGACACGUAGGUGAAGUGAUUUACUCAUGGAGCUGAAGUCAGUCGAAGAUACCAGCUGGCUGCAACUGUUUAUUAAAAACACAGCACUGUGCAAACACGAAAGUGGACGUAUACGGUGUGACGCCUGCCCGGUGCCGGAAGGUUAAUUGAUGGGGUCAGCGCAAGCGAAGCUCCUGAUCGAAGCCCCGGUAAACGGCGGCCGUAACUAUAACGGUCCUAAGGUAGCGAAAUUCCUUGUCGGGUAAGUUCCGACCUGCACGAAUGGCGUAAUGAUGGCCAGGCUGUCUCCACCCGAGACUCAGUGAAAUUGAACUCGCUGUGAAGAUGCAGUGUACCCGCGGCAAGACGGAAAGACCCCGUGAACCUUUACUAUAGCUUGACACUGAACAUUGAGCCUUGAUGUGUAGGAUAGGUGGGAGGCUUUGAAGUGUGGACGCCAGUCUGCAUGGAGCCGACCUUGAAAUACCACCCUUUAAUGUUUGAUGUUCUAACGUGGACCCGUUACCCGGGUUGCGGACAGUGUCUGGUGGGUAGUUUGACUGGGGCGGUCUCCUCCUAAAGAGUAACGGAG
rnacentral:rRNA from 1 species